CUCUGUGCCUGCCAGCUUGCCUGCCUGUCUGCCUGCAGAGUUGCAGUGCGGAGUAUCAUUGCAGCGCUUUUUCAGGGAGUAACGUGCUGCACUGGUUCGGGCUUUGUCUUUAUUCACAACACAUUCGUGUGCCUCAGCAGGGGUGGGGACUGCACUGUUGCCUGCCAGCCUGUCCUCUUUGACUGUCUGCUGAAUAAUCGAGUGAAAACUCUCCAUUAGAGGGAGAGAGAGAGAGAAAGAGGAGAGAGAGAGAGAGAGAGAGAGAGAGAGAGAGAGAGAGAGAAGGAAGAGAGGAGCACAUUGAGAUACAGAGGAAGAAAGACCACGCAAAAAGAAGAGGGGUGGAGAGGGGAGAGAAGGGGAGAAACGGAUGCUGUCUGGCGCGCUCAUAUAUUAGGGCUCUGGCAGGAGGCUGCAGGAGCAGCAUCAGCAAGCUUUCAGGCAGUGAUUCUAACUGUUGCCCGUGAACACCAUGGUCAGGAUGACUUUGAAGAGGCAAUUGAUUACUUAUGCAUAGAACACUCUAGCUCUGCUAAAACUAGGAAAUCAGACACCCCCUUGUUUUCUAAUUUAGAGACUUGCGUCUUUCGAGCCUCAACACUUUCAAGACACUCUGCUUCAGGAAACUGGAAUUUUGAAGAUGUGUUUGCUAUGGACCUCAACUAUCUCAUUUGCAGAUAUGCAGCAUUCUGUCUGAUGGACGUGUGGCCCAAGGCUGUGAUAUAGGAUAAGAAGAGACCUGGAGCUGUCUGUAUGUGUUUAUAAAAUAGAGAAAAGAUAAACAGAAAAAUUAAUUCUGACUUCUUGCUUCUCAAUCUUCUCUCACCACCUGAUUAAACAAACAAAACAAAAUAAGGGGCAGGCAUUUAUCCUAGUGAUUAGAUACAGAUUGGCACAUACACAUUCCACACAGGACAGAGUCCUGAGUCUCAUACUUCGUGCUGGGUCCUUACUCCAGCUCAGUCCUUAGGCAAACCCUUAGCAAUAGUGGUGCUGGUUGAAGGGACUGACUUCUGACAACCCAUGUGAGAGUUCUGUGUUGUGCUCCUGGCUCCUGGCUUUAGAGGGGUCCAACCUCAACCAUUGCCAGCAUUUGUGGAGUGAACCAGUGCGUAGGAACUCUCUCUCCCUCUCAAUUAAAUACAUAAAUAAUAAAACAAAACAAAACAAUAAUGUGACA
rnacentral:lncRNA from 1 species